GUGAAUAAAAUCACAAAUAACCUUAUACCCCUUUGUUUGACCGUGAAAAUUUUCUCCCAUCCCCUUUGUUGUCUUAAUGACAAUAAAAAGACAAAAGACCCGGCCUGCGCUGGGUCUUUUGUCUUU
rnacentral:sRNA from 2 species